rnacentral:rRNA from 1 species
CCUACGGGUGGCAGCAGUGGGGAAUAUUGGACAAUGGGCGCAAGCCUGACCCAGCGACGCCGCGUGAAGGAAGAAGGCUUUCGGGUUGUAAACUUCUUUUAUCAGGGAAGAGUAGAAGACGGUACCUGACGAAUAAGCCACGGCUAACUACGUGCCAGCAGCCGCGGUAAUACGGAGGUGGCAAGCGUUGUCCGGAUUUACUGGGUGUAAAGGGCGUGUAGACGGGUGGACAAGUCAGUUGUGAAAUCCUGCGGCUUAACCGCAGAACUGCAUUUGAAACUGUUGAUCUUGAGUACUGGAGAGGCAGACGGAAUUCCUAGUGUAGCGGUGAAAUGCGUAGAUAUUAGGAGGAACACCAGUGGCGAAGGCGGUUUGCUGGACAGCAACUGACGGUGAGGCGCGAAAGCGUGGGGAGCAAACAGGAUUAGAUACCCGAGUAGUC